GAUAAAUAUGACUCAAUAUUCGUAAAUAUAUCUAGAAAAGCUGUACUUUUUAUUUGUAAAUGUGUACACAUUUUGUAAAUUAAACCAUUAUCUGUAAAUAUGUAAACAUAUUUCACAAAUAAUACCCUAAUCUGUAAAAAGACAAUUCACCAAGAUUCAAAAUCUUUCAACAUUUACAACUGUUACCAAACAUUUAUAACCGUUGUCAUACAUUCACAACUAACACCUUUUCCUUCGGUCGACAAGUUCUCGUGUUCGUGGUUUCAGUCAGAGGGUUGGCGUGAACUCAUUGGUGGGACCUGUGGAAUAUUCAGACUGGAGCCUGAUAGACUGGGGCCUGUUGGUAGCUAGAACACGUUCUUCCUGAAAUGCUAGACGCAUCUAUGACGUAUUACUGGCCUCUACUCACUAUUCACAACUUAAUAAGAAAUAAUUAGAAAUAGCUAUAUCUUUUAUAUACUCCAAUACGUCGCAAGGACUCCAUCAGUUUCUUCAAUUUGCUCCAACUGUCCAAAUUCAAUAAAGUGCGUAAAGUAAAAACAGUUUCUCCAGCUGCACCCAAUUCUCUGAACAAUUUCUUCCUCUGACAACAGUAUGUCCUGCACUGCACUAAUACAUGCUUCACUGUUUCCUUGUCUCCACAUUCACACUUUCCAUCAGGAUGUUUACUAAUCAGAGCCAGCCCACUCCUCAGCCCACAAUGCCCAAGCCUCAAUCUGGAUAAAACUACUGCUUCUCUUCUCUUACAUCUAUAAACACAUCUUUCUUUUUCUACCAUACUUUGUACAGAAUAAUAAGUUCUCCCCUUCCUUUCACAAUCCCAUGAAUUUUGCCACAUUUCUUUUACUGACCUAUUCAUUAUUUCAGUGUACUCUGGUACACAUACCCAUACUGCACAUUCAUUUGAACUCUUUCCUCCUGCACUGCUUUCUUUGCCACCUCAUCUGCCUCCUCAUUACCCUCCACACCCAUGUGUGCUGGAACCCACAGAAACCCCACCUCAUUCCCUGCUUUAUGUAUUCUAUACAACACCUGCAAAAUGUCCACAAGCACAUCAGGCCUUGACUUAGUUUUGGUACCUUUAAUUGCAAUUAGGGAUGCUGCUGAGUCACUACAUAUGACAGAAUGUUCCUGCUCGUCAUCUUCAACCCACCUUACUGCCCAUAGAACUGCCACCAACUCUGCAGUAAACACGGAUAAGUGAUCUGGAAUCCUACAACCUUACAUACCAAAAGCCACUUUUCCACUCUCAGGAUCCUUCGACCCGUCAGUAUAAAUUUGUAGGCAGCCACCCCAUAUUUGACCCUGCCGAGCUCUUAUCUCCUCCACUACCUCCUCUGACA